rnacentral:rRNA from 1 species
UACAGAGGUCUCAAGCGUUGUUCGGAUUCAUUGGGCGUAAAGGGUGUGUAGGUGGCGCGCUAAGUCGGGUGUGAAAUUUCGGAGCUUAACUCCGAAACUGCAUUCGAUACUGGCGUGCUUGAGGACUGGAGAGGAGACUGGAAUUCGAUGGUGUAGUAGUGAAAUGCGUAGAGAUCAAUGAGGAAGACCAGUGGCGAAGGCGGGUCUCUGGACAGUUCCUGACGCUGAGGCACGGAAGGCCAGGGGAGCAAACGGG